rnacentral:rRNA from 1 species
UUACGGGAGGCAGCAGUGGGGAAUUGUUCGCAAUGGGCGCAAGCCUGACGACGCAACGCCGCGUGGAGGAUGAAGAUCUUCGGGUCGUAAACUCCUUUCGAUCGGGAAGAACGUUUUCGGGGUGAACAACUCCGAGAAGUGACGGUACCGAGAGAAGAAGCCCCGGCUAACUCUGUGCCAGCAGCCGCGGUAAUACAGGGGGGGCAAGCGUUGUUCGGAAUUACUGGGCGUAAAGGGCCAGUAGGCGGCCAACUAAGUCACACGUGAAAUCCCCAGGCUUAACCUGGGAACUGCGUGUGAUACUGGAUGGCUUGAAUUCGGGAGAGGGAUGCAGAAUUCCAGGUGUAGCGGUGAAAUGCGUAGAUAUCUGGAGGAAUACCGGUGGCGAAGGCGGCAUCCUGGACCGACAUUGACGCUGAACGGCGAAAGCUAGGGGAGCAAACGGGAUUAGAUACCCCGGU